UGAAGCGGCAAAAGCUCAAAUUUGAAAUCUGGUACUUUCAGUAUCCGAGUUGUAAUUUGAAGAAGGUAUCUUUGGACCUGGCUCUUGUCUAUGUUCCUUGGAACAGGACGUCACAGAGGGUGAGAAUCCCGUGCGAUGAGAUGCUCCAGGUCUAUGUAAAGUUCCUUCGAAGAGUCGAGUUGUUUGGGAAUGCAGCUCUAAGUGGGUGGUAAAUUCCAUCUAAAGCUAAAUAUUGGCGAGAGACCGAUAGCGAACAAGUACAGUGAUGGAAAGAUGAAAAGAACUUUGAAAAGAGAGUGAAAAAGUACGUGAAAUUGUUGAAAGGGAAGGGCUUGAGAUCAGACUUGAUAUUUUGUAUGUUGUUCUUUCGGGGGCAGCCUCUACAGUUUAUCGGGCCAGCAUCGGUUUGAACGGUAGGAUAAUGGUAAAGAAAUGUGGCAUCACUUGUGAUGUGUUAUAGUCUUUAUUGAUACUGCCAGUUUAGACCGAGGACUGCGAUUUUUAAUCUAGGAUGUUGGCAUAAUGAUCUUAAGUCGCC
rnacentral:rRNA from 1 species